rnacentral:rRNA from 1 species
GACGAACGCUGGCGGCGUGCCUAAUACAUGCAAGUCGUGCGGACCUUUUAAAAGCUUGCUUUUAAAAGGUUAGCGGCGGACGGGUGAGUAACACGUGGGCAACCUGCCUGUAAGACUGGGAUAACGCCGGGAAACCGGGGCUAAUACCGGAUCGUUUUUCCUCCGCAUGGAGGAAAAAGGAAAGGCGGCUUCGGCUGCCACUUACAGAUGGUCCCGCGGCGCAUUAGCUAGUUGGCGGGGUAACGGCCCACCAAGGCAACGAUGCGUAGCCGACCUGAGAGGGUGAUCGGCCACAUUGGGACUGGGACACGGCCCAAACUCCUACGGGAGGCAGCAGUAGGGGAUCUUCCGCAAUGGACGAAAGUCUGACGGAGCAACGCCGCGGGAGUGAAGAAGGCCUUCGGGUCGUAAAACUCUGUUGCCGGGGAAGAACAAGUGCCGUUCGAACAGGGCGGCGCCUUGACGGUACCCAGCCAGAAAGCCACGGCUAACUACGUG